AUUGAACGCUGGCGGCAGGCCUAACACAUGCAAGUCGAACGAGUGGCGGACGGGUGAGUAAUGUCUGGGAAACUGCCUGAUGGAGGGGGAUAACUAAUGGAAACGGUAGCUAAUACCGCAUACCAUCAGAUGGGCCCAGAUGGGAUUAGAUUGUUGGGGGGGUAACGGUGCACCAAGGCGACGAUCCCUAGCUGGUCUGAGAGGAUGACCCGCCACACUGGAAGUGAGACACGGUCCAGACUCCUCCGGGAGGCAGCGGUGGGGAAUAUUGCACAAUGGGCGCAAGCCUGCUGCAGCCAUGCCGCGUGUAUGAAGAAGGCCUUCGGGUUGUAAAGUACUUUCAGCGGGGAGGCGUUACCCGCAGAAGAAGCACCGGCUAACUCCGUGCCAGCAGCCGCGUAAUAC
rnacentral:rRNA from 1 species